AAUUCCCAGCUCUGCUCCUCUGUGAUUUCUUCAACUUUUUCAGCAUUUCACCAAUGUUCAAGAAGUAGCAGCCCCUACAGGUUGCAACAGUGGCGCCAUUGACAUGCAGCCAAACAGCCAAACAGCCAGUAAGCCUCCAGAUCAGCCAGACAGCCAUCCUCACAGACAGCCAUGACUUCCAGUCAGCCAGUUCACCAUCUGUCUGCAGGUUGGUGGGUUAUUCAUCAUUCCCAGCCCCAUGGCCACCUCUGUUUAUUGGCUGAGCUCCGGUGCCCCCUCUUUGUACCUUGGCCCCGUGUGGAGCCUGCUUCUGCCUUUCUCCUGCAGAGACCACACCUGUAUGUGAAAAUGUGAACUAUAAUAAACAUCUCUUCAAUGAUAUGCAGCCACUUCCUGUCUUCCCUGUGGCCAGUUCUCCGUCGAUUCAAUGCUCCAGUGUGGAGCCGGAAUUCAGCGACUGAAGACGUGGACCCUUUAUGUAUCAAAGCUGUGUCUUUGAA